UCGCCAGAUGUCCCCCACAGGGAAGAGCUUGAGAGAUCACUUCUCUCUGUUACAGGGGAGUGAAAGCUCAGAAUGGGAGGGCAGCCCUAUGGGCUCAUAUUCACCAGCAGUGGUGGCUGAAGCAGGUAAUUGCAGCUAAGGACCCAUGACUUGGACUCAAGGGUGCCAUUAAAACCAUUUGGCCACCAGUACAGCAGAGGCACCUACCAGCCCUUGACAAAGGGGAGGUACGGUCACCACCACAGCUCUGCAUGCCAGCUGAGACUCAGCUCCCCUUAGACCCACGUGCAAUCAAUCCUUCCAGCAGCCCUAUGAGCACUACAGGUGGCCACAAUCAGACCCAUCAUUCAAGGUAAUUUCCCCACGUGGAGCCUCAGGGAGGGGCAUUGUGUGAAGCCUCGGGCUCAGAGGCUGGUGAGUUUUUGGAGCACAGAGCCCAACCUCCAGCACACUGCCUGCCACGGAACGGGCUUUCAGCACAUAUUUGCUGGAUGAGUGAGUGGCUACGUGGAUGAAUAAAUGAAUAAAGAUGUAAGCCAGAGCCAAGCAAGGAAGAGUCUGCACCUGAAGGCUAUACCAGCACCAGGAAAGCGUCCGCCCAGAGACUGCAGCAAGGAUGGGUCUACAUGGAGAUACUCAAGUAGAAUAUCCAGGGAAGGAGUCCGGGAGGCUAUAAAAGCAAGAAGUCAAACAAGACAUGGCUCUCAG